rnacentral:rRNA from 1 species
AAUGAACGCUGGCGGCGUGCCUAACACAUGCAAGUCGAACGAGAAAGCCCGCAAGGGUGAGUACAGCGGCGCACGGGUGAGUAAUACAUAGGAAUCUGCCUCUGAGUGAAGAAUACCCUAGAGAAAUUUAGGUUAAUACUGCAUAAGCCCAGAAAUGGGGAAAGGUGGCCUCAAGCUACCGCUGAGAGAUGAGCCUAUGGCCUAUUAGCUAGUUGGUAGGGUAAAAGCCUACCAAGGCGAGGAUGGGUAGCCGGCCUGAGAGGGUGUACAGCCACACUGGGACUGAGACACGGCCCAGACUGCUACGGGAGGCAGCAGUGGGGAAUAUUGGACAAUGGGCGGAAGCCUGAUCCAGCAACGCCGCGUGAGGGAUGACGGCCUUCGGGUUGUAAACCUCUUUCAGCACAGACGAAGCUCACUUGUGGGUGACGGUAUGUGCAGAAGAAGCACCGGCCAACUACGUGCCAGCAGCCGCGGUAA